rnacentral:tRNA from 1 species
GGAGAAAAAGUGGAAGAGCACGUGCUUAACACGCACGAGGUCCUGGGUUCAAUCCCCAGUCCCUCCU